ensembl:lncRNA
GGAGGGAGUUGCAGUAGUCCAGGCGUGAGAUGACAAGAGCCUGAAUCAGUACCUGGGCAGCCUUCUGAGUGAGAAGAGGACGUAUUCUCCUGAUGUUGUAGAGCGCGUAUCUACAGGAUCGUGUUGUUGCAGUGAUGUUGGGAGUCAGGGAGAGUUGGCUGUCGAUUGUGACGUCGAGGUUCUUAGCGGUUAAAGUGGGCGUUAACACGGAGUUGCCAAAGUUGACCGUCAGGUCCUGGGUCGGAGAGUCUUUUCCCGGAAAGAGAAGUAGUUUGGUCUUGUCGGGGUUGAUUUUCAGGUGGUGGGCGGACAUCCACUGAGAGAUGUCAGUCAGACAGGCAGAGAUCCGUGCCGCCACCUGGGUGUCCGAGUGAGGGCAGGAGAGAAUUAGUUGUGUGUCAUCGGCAUAGCUGUGGUAGGAGAAGCCUUGCGAGCGAAUGACAGCUCCGAGAGAAUUGGUGUAGAGCGAGAAGAGGAGGGGACCCAGGACGGAACCCUGAGGAACUCCCGUAGUAAGAGGACAAGUAGAAGAAGGGAAACCCGCACGUUGACACCUUCUCGCUGCUGGUGAAAGGUGACACCUGUGAAGGCGGUUCCUCCCUGGACUCCGUGAUGUUGGUCCUGCGUGUGGCCGAGCUGCUGCUGGUCACCGUCGUCCUGGUUCUUCUCGCCGCCGGCCGCGGAAACCGGAGGCCGACCCAGUGCGGUGCCCUGAGAUGGAGGUCAGAGAAGCAGGAGCGUGGUGACGGAGGAGGAGGAGGAGGAGGAGGAGGCGACGGUAACUACGAGAACGUGGGCGGCCCUUCUGUGUCUGUCGGGCCCCCUGAGCGACGCCCCCCCCCCCCCCCCCCCCCCGCGAAGAGGCUGCGGCGGCUGCACAUCUGUCAUCCCACGCCUGUUGAAUGCUUUCAGGAGAAGCUUUUUCCUGCAUUGGAAGAUCUACAGAACACAACUUGUUACAACUUCUUUUGCUGAUAGUGUAUUAUUUUGUAAGCUUCCUGUUGGUCUGCAGUCCGAUGGGCUUUUAGAGCGCGUUGUUUCUUUGAUGAUUCUGUAACAACAUUUUCUGCAUUAUAAUCGCGAAUAAAAUGGCCGUUUUUCUACUUAUACAUGUCUCGUGAUGUGUUUGAUAGUUUCAGGUCUCAAAAUAGAAGUUGGAUACACAUUAAAAACAUUUAAAGGCCUUUUGGCUGUAGGGGGGCAGAUGUGAAUACAUUUGUGGAUCUGUGUGCACUCAUUCAUGUUGAGACUGAUUUGAGCACAUGUGGUUUCGUUAAAGUGAUAUUUGUCCAACAGACGCAUCGUUUCAUAUUCCAGACAUCGUAGAGACAUUUGGUCCCCGUCACACUUUUGACUUCCUCAGUCUUCUUCGGGUCCUUGUUGGUUCGCUUGUAAGUCGGCAACACAAGUGCAUGAUGGGAAAGAACUUGAGACUCGACGUGAGUCUUAGUGCAGUUUGUUUGUUGCUGCAUCAGAUCAGAGAAAUAAAUGUAGAGAUGUGACUUUAAGUUAAGCAACAAGUGAUGUUUGAUGAAACAGAAGAACAAGGAAAUGACUUUACAACAAAAAGAGGAAGUAGAUUCAUCAUUUGUCUUGCAAUUUCCUCAAAUAAGCCAAUUUACAAUUUGCUAUAGAUGAGUGACGUUACAAGUACAAUUUAAGUAAUACAAUUUGUUAGUCUUUAGUUGAGGUGGAGUCUGAGUUGAGUCUAACACAACUGAAUGAGAAGAAACAGUUUUAAAAAAGAAACAAGUGACGUAUGAGAGACGAGAGGGACGAGGAAGUGACUCUUUAUCA